rnacentral:rRNA from 1 species
CCUACGGGAGACAGCAGUGAGGAAUAUUGGUCAAUGGACGAGAGUCUGAACCAGCCAAGUAGCGUGAAGGAUGACUGCCCUAUGGGUUGUAAACUUCUUUUAUAUGGGAAUAAAAUGUUCCACGUGUGGGAUUUUGUAUGUACCAUAUGAAUAAGGAUCGGCUAACUCCGUGCCAGCAGCCGCGGUAAUACGGAGGAUCCGAGCGUUAUCCGGAUUUAUUGGGUUUAAAGGGAGCGUAGGUGGAUUGUUAAGUCAGUUGUGAAAGUUUGCGGCUCAACCGUAAAAUUGCAGUUGAAACUGGCAGUCGUGAGUACAGUAGAGGUGGGCGGAAUUCGUGGUGUAGCGGUGAAAUGAUUAGAUAUCACGAAGAACUCCGAUUGCGAAGGCAGCUCACUGGACUGCAACUGACACUGAGGCUCGAAAGUGUGGGUAUCAAACAGGAUUAGAUACCCCAGUAGUC